rnacentral:rRNA from 1 species
CAGCCGCCGCGGGAAUACGUAGGGUCCGAGCGUUGUCCGGAAUUAUUGGGCGUAAAGCGUGCGUAGGUGGUGGUUUAAGUCCGUUGUGAAAGCCCUGGGCUCAACCUGGGAAUUGCAGUGGAUACUGGGUCACUAGAGUGUGGUAGAGGAUAGUGGAAUUUCCGGUGUUGCGGUGAAAUGCGUAGAUAUCGGAAGGAACACCUGUGGCGAAAGCGGCUCACUGGACCAUAACUGACGCUGAGGUGCGAAAGCGUGGGGAGCAAACAGGAUUAGAUACCCCAGUAGUCCCUGUCUCUUAUAC